AGUGAACGCUGGCGGUAGGCCUAACACAUGCAAGUCGAACGGCAGCACAGUAAGAGCUUGCUCUUACGGGUGGCGAGUGGCGGACGGGUGAGGAAUACAUCGGAAUCUACUUUUUCGUGGGGGAUAACGUAGGGAAACUUACGCUAAUACCGCAUACGACCUACGGGUGAAAGCAGGGGAUCUUCGGACCUUGCGCGAUUGAAUGAGACGAUGUCGGAUUAGCUAGUUGGCGGGGUAAAGGCCCACCAAGGCGACGCUCCGUAGCUGGUCUGAGAGGAUGAUCAGCCACACUGGAACUGAGACACGGUCCAGACUCCUACGGGAGGCAGCAGUGGGGAAUAUUGGACAAUGGGCGCAAGCCUGAUCCAGCCAUACCGCGUGGGUGAAGAAGGCCUUCGGGUUGUAAAGCCCUUUUGUUGGGAAAGAAAAGCAGCAGGUUAAUACCCCGCUGUUCUGACGGUACCCAAAGAAUAAGCACCGGCUAACUUCGUG
rnacentral:rRNA from 1 species